AACGAACGCUGGCGGCGUGCCUAACACAUGCAAGUCGAACGCUCCGCAAGGGGAGUGGCGAACGGGUGAGUAACGCGUGGGAACCUGCCCAGUAGUUGGGGAUAACCGCGGGAAACUGCGGCUAAUACCGAAUACGCCCUAAGGGGAAAGAUUUAUCGCUAUUGGAGGGGCCCGCGUCGGAUUAGCUGGUUGGUGAGGUAACGGCUCACCAAGGCGACGAUCCGUAGCUGGUCUGAGAGGAUGANCAGCCACACUGGGACUUAGACACGGCCCAGACUCCUACGGGAGGCAGCAGUGGGGAAUAUUGGUCAAUGGGUGAGAGCCUGAACCAGCCAUGCCGCGUGCAGCAAGAAGGCGUUAUGCGUUGUAAACUGCUUUUG
rnacentral:rRNA from 1 species